AUAGUACAGUUUGCUAGUUUUGAUGUUUAUAAUUAAUUAUUCAGUGGUACCCUUGUAAUUAAAUAGCAAAACAUUGGGGAUACUAAGUUAUUUGUGGGGAGGUAUUUCUCCAAAUGGUAUAUUAAGCACCAAAUUUAAGGAGGAUUUCAAAGAACUGUCGUGAACUUGCCAAAACAAACAUUGGAGGAAUAAUCAAAACACAGACAUAAUUUCUAUGAGAAGCAUAACAAAUCAAAUGAUAAAACGAGUAACUCAAUAGAGUAAAGCAAACUGGGAAGCAAACUUGAAGCAAAUA
rnacentral:lncRNA from 1 species